rnacentral:rRNA from 1 species
AGAGUUUGAUCCUGGCUCAGAUUGAACGCUGGCGGCAGGCCUAACACAUGCAAGUCGAGCGGCAGCGGGAAAGUAGCUUGCUACUUUUGCCGGCGAGCGGCGGACGGGUGAGUAAUGCCUGGGAAAUUGCCCAGUCGAGGGGGAUAACAGUUGGAAACGACUGCUAAUACCGCAUACGCCCUACGGGGGAAAGCAGGGGACCUUCGGGCCUUGCGCGAUUGGAUAUGCCCAGGUGGGAUUAGCUUGUUGGUGAGGUAAUGGCUCACCAAGGCGACGAUCCCUAGCUGGUCUGAGAGGAUGAUCAGCCACACUGGAACUGAGACACGGUCCAGACUCCUACGGGAGGCAGCAGUGGGGAAUAUUGCACAAUGGGCGAAAGCCUGAUGCAGCAACGCCGCGUGAGCGAUGAAGGUCUUCGGAUCGUAAAGCUCUGUCCUCAAGGAAGAUAAUGACGGUACUUGAGGAGGAAGCCCCGGCUAACUACGUGCCAGCAGCCGCGGUAAUACGUAGGGGGCUAGCGUUAUCCGGAAUUACUGGGCGUAAAGGGUGC